rnacentral:sRNA from 1 species
GUCUUGGUAGGCGGUGCCGUGACAAGCCCAACCGGACGGCUGCAGAGGGCGAGAAGGGCAGACGGGACGUGCAGCCUCUUCCGCCUGAGCCCCGGAAGGGUGAUGUGGCUGCGGCAUCGCCGGCCUCGCUAUGAUUGUUGGGUAUAUUUUGGAAGUGUGCCAGAAUUGGCGAACGGAAGAGUCCUUAUGUUGCAGUAUGCUGUAUAGUAAUGGCCUUCAGCAUCCUCUUCAUACAGUAGCUGGGGAAAAUGCCAGAAUUUAGUUGCCAUCAGAUUUGAUUGUGAACAAGGACUGACUGCAGAAAAUAAUGGAAAGGAUGUUUAACUCUUUUAUCUCCGAACAUUGAAUGAGAUAAAUUUCCAGAUGCUGUUCUCUAUUUUAAUGUUAUUGGACCAAUGUUCUGUAUAAACAAUUAAGAUGUAACCAUUUAAUAGUCUGUAACAAUCAACCUCAGUACUGUCACUACAAUAUUACAUUCUGCAUAUGUUAUUCUGUUGUAUCAGAUACGAAAUUUUAGUGAGGUAUCUCUAAGGCACAUAGUAGAAAACAAAAUUGGUUAAUUACUCAAGUUCCUUUCACUGUGAUUUGGAAAUGAU